rnacentral:tRNA from 1 species
CAAAGAGUAGCUUAAAAUAAAGCACUCAACUUACAAUUGAGAGAUGUUACUUACACAACCUCUUUGC